rnacentral:rRNA from 1 species
AUUGAACGCUGGCGGCAGGCCUAACACAUGCAAGUCGAACGAGUGGAGGACGGGUGAGUAAUGUCUGGGAAACUGCCCGAUGGAGGGGGAUAACUACUGGAAACGGUAGCUACUACCGCAUACCAUCGGAUGUGCCCAGAUGGGCUUAGCUAGUAGGUGGGGUAAUGGCUCACCUGGGCGCCGAUCCCUAGCUGGUCUGAGAGGCUGACCAGCCACACGGGAACUGAGACCCGGUCCAUACUCCACCGGUAUGCAGCAGUGGGGAAUAUGGAACAAUGGGCGCCAUCCUGCUGCAGCCAUGCCGCGUGUAUGAAGAAGGCCGUCGGGUUGUAAAGUACUUUCAGCGAGGAGGCGUUACUCGCAGAAGAAGCACCGGCUAACGCCGUGCCAGCAGCCGCGGUAAUUC